rnacentral:rRNA from 1 species
UAGGGAAUUUUCGUCAAUGGAGGGAACUCUGAACGAGCAAUGCCGCGUGAGUGAAGAAGGUCUUCGGAUCGUAAAGCUCUGUUGUAAGAGAAAAACGGUGGAUAUAGGAAAUGAUGUCCAAGUGAUGGUAUCUUACCAGAAAGCCACGGCUAACUACGUGCCAGCAGCCGCGGUAAUACGUAGGUGGCAAGCGUUAUCCGGAAUGAUUGGGCGUAAAGGGUGCGUAGGUGGUGCAUUAAGUCUGAAGUAAAAGCCAGCAGCUCAACUGCUGUAAGCUUUGGAAACUGGUGUACUAGAGUGCAGGAGAGGGCGAUGGAAUUCCAUGUGUAGCGGUAAAAUGCGUAGAUAUAUGGAGGAACACCAGUGGCGAAGGCGGUCGCCUGGCCUGUAACUGACACUGAGGCACGAAAGCGUGGGGAGCAAAUA